rfam:Ictidomys tridecemlineatus contig049939, whole genome shotgun sequence.
GGGGUUGUGGCUCAGUGGUAGAGUGCUUGCCUAGAGUGUAUGAGGCACUGGGUUCGAUUCUCAGCACCA